CCUGUGUGAUGACAAAGUAAAGACUGACUAAACCGUGGAGUCAUUUAUAUUAGCUCUAGCUGACC